UGGGGAAUAUUGGACAAUGGGCGAAAGCCUGAUCCAGCCAUGCCGCGUGUGUGAAGAAGGUCUUCGGAUUGUAAAGCACUUUAAGUUGGGAGGAAGGGCAGUAAGCGAAUACCUUGCUGUUUUGACGUUACCGACAGAAUAAGCACCGGCUAACUCUGUGCCAGCAGCCGCGGUAAUACAGAGGGUGCAAGCGUUAAUCGGAAUUACUGGGCGUAAAGAGCGCGUAGGUGGUUCGUUAAGUUGAAUGUGAAAGCCCCGGGCUCAACCUGGGAACUGCAUCCAAAACUGGCGAGCUAGAGUAGGGCAGAGGGUGGUGGAAUUUCCUGUGUAGCGGUGAAAUGCGUAGAUAUAGGAAGGAACACCAGUGGCGAAGGCGACCACCUGGGCUCAUACUGACACUGAGGUGCGAAAGCGUGGGGAGCAAACAGG
rnacentral:rRNA from 1 species